GGACAGUCCAAACAUGGAAUGUGUUUACAAAGAUAACAGCUGAAACAAGCAAAGGCUAAUGGAAGGAGAGAACUUAACAGAGCAUAGCCAAGCUAUAACUGAGAAGAAUACCACAUGAUGGCUCUAGUCUCUUGCUGCACGACUGUUUGCGAAAUCCAAGUUUUGAACUUGUAAGGUAUUUUUAAGGACAAGUAGGGUUAUUAAGUGAAACUCCUCAUAAAGUCAAAAUCACCCAGUUGGCAAUUCUUAGGGUCUGAUUAUAUUAAUUUAUGUUCAUAUUAAGAAAAACCACAUUUUGUUUUAAUUGGUGCUUGUGGGUUAUCUCACUUUUAGGGUCAGGGCACUACCCAUCUACCCCAAGGUCCUUCCAACUCAGAUUUCUACACUUCUGUCUGCAUCUUGUGUACGUUUGACUUGAACUUUCCACCUGUUGUUUGUUAGCUUUCUCCAAGCAUACAGUAUGUACGGCACUGUUGAUGUUGCACAACAUCACUAGUAGUGUGCACUGAUGUUCUCUCUGCCAUGUGACUGGUUAUUAUUGAGUUGUAUAACAUUUGUAAGCUCAUCCAGAGGUGCACAUCUAUUUUUGAAUAAACUACCCUGAAAGUCCCAGAAUCCUUUUUUUGUCUUCAGAAGAAAACAAAAUGCAUUUACUCAGGCAUGUAUGUUAAUUGUAGGGUAUAAAAGGGGAAAGUAGGAAAAGUGAAGUGGGUAAACAGGACUGUGAAAUGUGGUACUGAGGUAACAUGUUUUUUGGGCAGAAUGGUCUGGCAGUGUGACUGCCUAGUCUGUCACAUGGGGCCUGUUUAUCUCCUUCAGUGCAUUUGACCUUAGUGUCUGUCCCGAAGAAAUGUGGCAUGUGACCAACAGAUUUGGACGGGGGUGGUGUUUUCUCCGAAAUGAGACUACCAAACAAGACGAGAAGAAUCUUGCAUCGGGUGGCCUGGAUCAUAUGUCACCGGCAGCUGAUGAUGCUCUGCAGUCGGCGGACAGUAUAAAUGAGGGUCUGUGACUGUGCUUUGGCAGAUCACACACCGACUGGAGACAGCAACUGUGACAGUGGCUUUGGAUAGCACGCCACAAAGAACGAGACGGCCAUAAUUGGACUUGUGACACAGACUAACUUUUGGACAGUGGAAUGGAUAUUCAGACAGGCCAUGUGGUAAGGUCUCUCAGCCCCAUGGAGAGCUUGGAGAAACAACUCAGCUGCCCCAUCUGCCUGGAAAUGUUCACAAAGCCUGUGGUCAUCCUACCCUGCCAGCACAACCUCUGCAGGAGCUGCGCUAAUGAUCUGUAUGAUUCCCGUAACCCAUACCACUUCUCUGGUGGCAUCUUCCGCUGCCCCACCUGCCGCUUCGAGGUGGUCCUGGACCGCCAUGGUGUUUUUGGGCUCCAGAGAAACCUAUUAGUGGAGAACAUCAUUGACAUCUACAAGCAGCAGCAGCAGCAGCAGGAGGGGGACAAGGACCUAGAGCCCUUGAAGAAAAGCAAAGAAAGCAAGGAGCCCAUGUGCCCUGAGCACGAUGAUGAGAGGAUCAACAUUUAUUGCAUCACCUGUCAGGUGCCCACCUGUUCCAUGUGCAAGGUUUUUGGGAUGCACAAGGACUGUGAGGUUUCCCCCUUGCUGAACAUUUACCAGACCCAGAAGGCUGAACUGAGCAACGCCAUUGACAUGCUGGUGGCAGGAAACGGCUGUCUGCAGGCUCUACUUAACCAGAUGGAGGACACUUCCAAAACCAUCCAAGAGAACAGCCAUCAGCAGAAGCAAAACCUGACAGAGAAGUUUGACCUCCUGUAUGCAAUUUUGGAGGAGAGAAAAGGUCAGCUAUUGGAGAAGAUUACCCAGGAAGAGGAGGAAAAGGUCCGUACCUUGCGCUCCCUGGUUCAGCAAUACACUGAGCAGCUACAGGUCAGCAUCAGGCUUAUGGAUUCAGCGGUCCAGGCCAUAGAUAACAGUAGUGUGGCCGAUUUCCUGUUUUCUGCCAAGCAGCUCAUUGCCCAGACCAGGGAUGCAGCCAAAGGCUCCCAGAUCAAAAGGCCAGAACAAGGUUUUGAGAAGAUGGACCACUUCACUCUGGUCACAGAUCAUGUUGAGGCCAUUCUAGCUAAGAUGGAUUUUGGAAUGGAGAGUGAGGAUGAAGAAGAAUAUCAAGAGAGUCGACCCGCAGGAGGGCGUUUGGGCUGGUGGCACAGGCCUACACCUCCAUCACAGCUGAAGCAUUCGCCGCUUUUGUGGGACACUCUGUGGAGGAAGCGGUGAGAGGAGUGGUCUCUCAGGGCUGGCAGGCGGAUCCCAAUACUCGUAUGGUUAUGCCACAGAAGCCUGAUCCUCCUCCUGUCUCUCU